rnacentral:tRNA from 1 species
GUAUAUAUAGUAAAGUAAUAUUUAUAAUUAGUAUUAUUAUAUAUAAAGUAUUUUAUAAUAUAUUCUUUUUCUUACUAUUUAUUAAUUAUAAUAUUUAUAGUACUUAAUAUUUUUAUUAUUAUAUUAAUAUUAUUUCCUUAAUAAUAUCGCUUUAAUAUUUAUAGUAAUUAUUUUAAUAUAUUAAUCUUAAUUAUUAUAGGUUCUAUAUCUUAAUAAAUAUA